AAUUCGCCCUUGCGGAUCCGCGGCCCUGCAGAGUUUGAUCCUGGCUCAGGACGAACGCUGGCGGCGUGCCUAAUGCAUGCAAGUCGAACGCAGCAGCUUUGGCUGGCUGCGUGGCGAACGGCUGAGGAACACGUGGGUAACCUGCCCCGGAGUGGGGGAUACCCCGUCGAAAGACGGAUAAUCCCGCAUACGCUCUACGGAGGAAAGCCCAUUCGGGCGCUCCGGGAGGGGCCUGCGGCCAUCAGGUAGUUGGUGUGGUAACGGCGCACCAAGCCACUGACGGGUACCCGGUCUGAGAGGACGACCGGGCAGACUGGGACUGCGACACGGCCCAGACUCCUACGGGAGGCAGCAGCAAGGAAUUUUCCCCAAUGGGCGCAAGCUGAGGGAGCAACGCCGUGUGGAGGACGACGGCCUUCGGGUUGUAAACUCCUUUCGGGUGGGACGACCACGACGGUACCACCAGAAGCAGCCCGGGCUAACUUUGUGCCAGCAGCCCGGGGUAAGACAGAGGGGGCAAGCGUUGUCCGGAGUUACUGGGCGUAAAGGGCGCGGAGGCGGUCUUCGCGGUCGGU
rnacentral:rRNA from 1 species